rnacentral:tRNA from 1 species
CUGGGUGUAGCUCAGGAGUAAGAGCGCGUGGUCGGGGACCACGAGGCCGCAGGUGCGAUUCCUGUCACCCAGACCA